GGCUCCAUAGUGUAGUGGUUAGCAUGUCUGCUUUGCAAGCAAAAGGUCUUGAGUUUGUGCCCCAAGUAGAGCCA
rnacentral:tRNA from 1 species